rnacentral:rRNA from 1 species
GACAGAGGCCUCAAGCGUUAGGCGGAAUCACUGGGCUUAAAGCGUGUGUAGGCGGAUCGUUAGUGUCUUGUGAAAUCCCACGGCUCACCCGUGGAACUGCUGGGCAUACUGGCGAUCUUGGGCCAACUAGGGGCAACUGGAACAAGCGGUGGAGCGGUGAAAUGCGUAGAUAUCGCUUGGAACGCCAAAGGUGAAAACAGGUUGCUGGGGUUGUGC